rnacentral:rRNA from 1 species
GAUCCUGGCUCAGGAUGAACGCUGGCGGCGUGCCUAACACAUGCAAGUCGAACGGAAGAUAAGCGCUUCGGAGACUUCGGUCAAUGUUUGCUUAUCUUAGUGGCGGACGGGUGAGUAACGCGUGGAUAACCUGCCUCAUACAGGGGGAUAACAGUUAGAAAUGACUGCUAAUACCGCAUAAGCGCACGGAAUCGCAUGUUUCUGUGUGAAAAACUGAGGUGGUAUGAGAUGGAUCCGCGUCUGAUUAGCCAGUUGGCAGGGUAACGGCCUACCAAAGCGACGAUCAGUAGCCGGCCUGAGAGGGUGAACGGCCACAUUGGGACUGAGACACGGCCCAAACUCCUACGGGAGGCAGCAGUGGGGGAUAUUGCACAAUGGGGGAAACCCUGAUGCAAGCGACGCCGCGUGAGUGAAGAAGUAUUUCGGUAUGUAAAGCUCUAUCAGCAGGGAAGAAAAUGACGGUACCUGACUAAGAAGCCCCGGCUAACUACGUGCCAGCAGCCGC